CGGAGGGAUCAUUACCGAGUUUACAACUCCCAAACCCCUGUGAACAUACCACUUGUUGCCUCGGCGGAUCAGCCCGCUCCCGGUAAAACGGGACGGCCCGCCAGAGGACCCCUAAACUCUGUUUCUAUAUGUAACUUCUGAGUAAAACCAUAAAUAAAUCAAAACUUUCAACAACGGAUCUCUUGGUUCUGGCAUCGAUGAAGAACGCAGCAAAAUGCGAUAAGUAAUGUGAAUUGCAGAAUUCAGUGAAUCAUCGAAUCUUUGAACGCACAUUGCGCCCGCCAGUAUUCUGGCGGGCAUGCCUGUUCGAGCGUCAUUUCAACCCUCAAGCACAGCUUGGUGUUGGGACUCGCGUUAAUUCGCGUUCCUCAAAUUGAUUGGCGGUCACGUCGAGCUUCCAUAGCGUAGUAGUAAAACCCUCGUUACUGGUAAUCGUCGCGGCCACGCCGUUAAACCCCCAACUUCUGAAUGUUGACCUCGGAUCAGGUAGGAAUACCCGCUGAACUUAAGCAUA
rnacentral:rRNA from 1 species